UCAUAAGUUACAGGUUCCACAAGUGUGGUGAUAGUACAAACAAAAUUUCGAAACUUUGGUGAAAAUUGUGUAUAAGAAAUAUACCGAUGUAAAGGGUGACACAUUCCUAAAGAGGAAAUAGAUUGACUGGGAACAACUAUGGCUGUAUAGUAGAGAUAAAAAUUUUGAAGUUUGAUACUAGGUUGCUUAAUAUGGUCAGAACAAUAAGUAACAGGAGGUGUUGAUGGCGCUGAAACGCUAGUUUUAUGGUCAUUUAUAGGUUAAUUUGAGGCAUGCAUUGGUGAAGGAGAUAGUGUUGGUAAAUCCAAAGAGCGGAAUCAACUUGUGGGUUGGUUGUAUCUAUGGUGAUUGGUUCUUCUGUAGUGUAAGGAAGAAUGACUAUAUCAUGUUGGUCUUCUUGUGGAUUAGUGUUGAAUGGGAAUAUAAGUUCAUGAAAUAUAAUAUCUCGGGGAGAAAAGAAUUUAUUAGUUGCACGAUCAUAAACUCGAUAACCUUUCUAACCUAGAGGGUAGCCA
rnacentral:lncRNA from 1 species